rnacentral:rRNA from 1 species
GCGUGAGUGAAGAAGGCCUUAGGGUUGUAAAGCUCUUUCAGCAGGGAAGAUGAUGACGGUACCUGCAGAAGAAGCCCCGGCUAACUCCGUGCCAGCAGCCGCGGUAAUACGGAGGGGGCUAGCGUUGCUCGGAAUUACUGGGCGUAAAGAGCACGUAGGCGGGUAUUCCAGUCAGGCGUGAAAGCCCCGGGCUCAACCCGGGAACUGCGCUUGAUACUGAAUACCUAGAGUCCGAGAGAGGGUGGUGGAAUUCCCAGUGUAGAGGUGAAAUUCGU